AUUGAGCCAAGGGGUUUGAUUAAGAGAAAGGUGUUAGGCCUAGAAUUGAAGGCUCAAGGCGUUGUUGUUGCUAUUUGCAUUCAGAAUGGGGCGUGUAUUAUCAACUUGGGUGUAUGGAAGCAAAGCCCCAUAGGCUCAGUAACGGAGGCCCAAGUGUGAAGGGAAAAGAAAUAGUGGAGCUUCAGACUCCCUUAUUAACGUUUCACUCUACACAACUAGAGUUCUCUCCUUCUCAAUCUACUCUCUUCACCGGAAAUUGUCCACCGCGUCGGAGGCGGCGGAGCAACCUAGAAUGACUAUAAAUCGCUAACACUUGAAACCUCUCACUUUCCUCUUUCUAAUUCUUGCAUCAAUCUCUUUUGAAACUUACUCAAACGUCAAAAAUACCAAAGAAGAACCAAGAACCCUAAGACAUUCAAACAUAAAUUAAAUCACCAUAAAACACUAAUCUGAACUCAAACCUUAGGGCUUUGGUUCGCCUAUUCAAGCACUACAUUGUGGUAACAAAAUUGGAGCAAAGAAGUGAAGAUUCGAAGGACCUACCUACAAGGUGUAUGCUUGGAUGUUAGAGCGCUUGAAAUUGAAGAUGAAGAUGAAAAUACAAGAUAAUAUGAUCCAUGGCUAGUGUAACUAUGGUAGGAUGAGACUUGGUUUAGCAUAGCGCAUGAAGGCAUGUCACAUAAAGUUGGCAUGGCAUGGAGGCAUAACACCAAGGCAUGAAGAAGUUUGAAGUCGUUGAAGACUUGGAGGUACAAAGAUCAGAGAUUUUGGGGAGAAUGACCAAAGUAACCUAGGGUUUAGGAUUAGUUUGACUUUGGUCACCUAUUUAACCAAAAAGUCAAUAGCUGACCAAAAGUCAACAGUUGACCAAAAGUCAACAGUUGACCAAAAGUCAACUUUAGGUCAAAUGUGUUUUUUUGUAGAAUUUUCUUUUGGACUCUUUUGUAAUAUAUACUUUAAAGGUUUGUAAUGAAAAUGAUCCUUUGAAUGGAAA